CUGCUAUGAUGAAGAGAAUUAUCUGACCUGAUAUCACCUGAAAUGUCACAUGUUUGGUGUUGAUCAGGGUAUGACCUGAAUUAAUCUUCUCUCUGAGCAG